rnacentral:lncRNA from 1 species
UAUUUGUGUUUUCAGUGUCAUACCUGGCAAUAUAUUCAAGAGUGACUAUGCACAGAAAAAUACCUCUCACUGCCUGCCCCCAAAUACCUCUCCAUCCUGGAAUACCUGCUGUUUUUUCAGGGAUCACAUGAGGCCAUGUCUGAUGUUCAUGAGAGUGAUGCACAUUCCUGUUGAACUGUAGUUCAUGGAAUUCACUCUCCGUGAUGAUGAAGAUGAUCAGUAAAAGCAAAAUGGGUCAUAACUCUUCUGCUGGCAAGGAAAGAAAUGGGGGAAAACAAUGGAAAUUACUGAUGAAUGCUACUUUGCCAUUAAUUUAAAAUUAUCUUAAAUCAAGAUGGGUUGAACAUGAAAAGCAAAGGUACUCGUCUUUUGAAGUUUUGCAAUAUGCAGAAACCUAUUCAAAUGUAAACUUACUGAAAACUGACAUAU